rnacentral:rRNA from 1 species
AUUGAACGCUGGCGGCAGGCCUAACACAUGCAAGUCGAACGAGGGGCGGACGGGUGAGUAAUGUAUGGGAAACUGCCUGAUGGAGGGGGUUAACUACUGGAAACGGUAGCUAAUACCGCAUACCAUCGGCUUUGCCCAGAUGGGAUUAGCUAGUAGGUGGGGUAACGGCUCACCUAGGCGACGAUCCCUAGCUGGUCUGAGAGGAGGACGAGCCACACUGGGACUGAGACACGGCCCAGACUCCUACGGGAGGCAGCAGUGGGGAAUAUUGCACACUGGGCGCAAGCCUGAUGCAGCCAGGCCGCGUGUAUGAAGAAGGCCAUCGGGUUGUAAAGUACUUUCAGCGGGGAGGCGUUACCCGCAGAAGAAGCACCGGCUAACUCCGUGCCAGCAGCCGCGGUAAUUC